rnacentral:rRNA from 1 species
AGGAUGAACGCUGGCGGUCUGCUUAACACAUGCAAGUCGAACGGAGUAGCAAUACUUAGUGGCGGACGGGUGAGUAACGCGUGAGAAUCUACCUUCAGGACGGAGACAACAGUUGGAAACGACUGCUAACCCCCGAUGUACCGAAAGGGCAAAUAUUUAUAGCCUGAAGAAGAGCUCGCGUCCGAUUAGCUAGUUGGAGAGGUAAAAGCUCACCAAGGCGACGAUCGGUAGCUGGUCUGAGAGGACGAUCAGCCACACUGGGACUGAGACACGGCCCAGACUCCUACGGGAGGCAGCAGUGGGGAAUUUCCGCAAUGGGCGAAAGCCUGACGGAGCAAGACCGCGUGGGGGAAGAAGGCUCUUGGGUUGUAAACCCCUUUUCUCUGGGAAGAACGCAAUGACGGUACCAGAGGAAUCAGCAUCGGCUAACUCCGUGCCAGCAGCCGC